UACGUAGGGUGCAAGCGUUAAUCGGAAUUACUGGGCGUAAAGCGUGCGCAGGCGGUUUGUAAGACUGUCGUGAAAUCCCCGGGCUUAACCUGGGAACUGCGCUUGUAACUGGCAAGCUUGAGUGUGGCAGAGGGGGUGGAAUUCCGGCGUGUAGCAGUGAAAUGCGUAGAGAUGCGGAGGAACACCGAUGGCGAAGGCAGCCCCCUGGGCCAACACUGACGCUCAGGCACGAAAGCGUGGGGAGCAAACAGG
rnacentral:rRNA from 1 species